GUAUAAAGGCAAACUGCCCGAAAGGGCGGGACGCAAAGCAAUGGGCCUAACAAUGCCGUUGUGCAUUCAUGGCUGCCAGGCUGCCG
rnacentral:ncRNA from 1 species